rnacentral:rRNA from 1 species
GACGAACGCUGGCGGCGUGCUUAACACAUGCAAGUCGAACGGAAAGGCCCUGCUUUUGUGGGGUGCUCGAGUGGCGAACGGGUGAGUAACACGUGAGUAACCUGCCCUUGACUUUGGGAUAACUUCAGGAAACUGGGGCUAAUACCGGAUAGGAGCUCCUGCUGCAUGGUGGGGGUUGGAAAGUUUCGGCGGUUGGGGAUGGAUUCGCGGCUUAUCAGCUUGUUGGUGGGGUAGUGGCUUACCAAGGCUUUGACGGGUAGCCGGCCUGAGAGGGUGACCGGCCACAAUGGGACUGAGAUACGGCCCAGACUCCUACGGGAGGCAGCAGUGGGGAAUAUUGCACAAUGGGCGGAAGCCUGAUGCAGCAACGCCGCGUGCGGGAUGACGGCCUUCGGGUUGUAAACCGCUUUCGCCUGUGACGAAGCGUGAGUGACGGUAAUGGGUAAAGAAGCACCGGCUAACUACGUG